GUAGGGGGGGGCAAGCGUCGUCCGGAAUUAUUGGGCGUAAAGCGCGCGCAGGCGGUCUCUUAAGUCCGAUGUGAAAGCCCACGGCUCAACCGUGGAGGGUCAUUGGAAACUGGGGGACUUGAGUGUAGGAGAGGAAAGUGGGAUUCCACGUGUAGCGGUGAAAUGCGUAGAUAUGUGGAGGAACACCAGUGGCGAAGGCGACUUUCUGGCCUACAACUGACGCUGAGGUGCGAAAGCGUGGGGAGCAAACAGGAUUUGAUACCCUGGUAGUCCACGCCGUAAACGAUGAGUGCUAGGUGUUAGGGGUUUCGAUGCCCUUAGUGCCGAAGUUAACACAUUAAGCACUCCGCCUGGGGAGUACGACCGCAAGGUUG
rnacentral:rRNA from 1 species